CCUGCUUGACCGCAUGGCUUGUCCAGCACAAUGGAGGAGGGGAAUACUACAUCCUGUAUUCUUGCACAUGCUCCGUACACUACUGAUCGUAUCUUGCCUCGUGCAACCAACUGAUCGAUACGUCAGCAUAUGCACGUACACAUGCCACGUGGUAAUCUCGGCCUACUUAAUUUAUUUUUACCGAGAUUCCACCACAUUCCCCCCUUUGAUGCCUCUUGAUAUUUUACAAUUACUUGAGGCAUCACUUAACCUUGGUUUGCAUACACCACAAGUUACCUUUGAACCAGACCAGACUUAUCCUAUGAUGUGAAUCUUCAACACUCGUCUUCCUGCAUUGGUUCUCCCUGAUCUAGAGCCUUAUAUUUAUAAAUUGCCAUUAUCUGUGCAGCAGCCUUCCUCUCUGCUAUAUUUUCUAUCAGGCUUUGCACAGACCUAACUACUAAGGGUAUAAGACACGGCAGGAGUAGACACAACAUUAAAAUCAGUAGGACUCCACCUACCACUACCUUAAGCCCU